CGGACGCUGCGCCGUGAGCCGUCGCGAGGAUUCCCUUGAAUGCUUGUGUGCGUCCCUGAGGCCCGUCGGCCUUCCAUCCCAGAACCGAUAUACGCGGUGAUCAGCGACUUUUCGGUACUUAUGAUUGAUUUCAUAAUCUAGUCAGGUAGUUUUAAGAAGCGAGUUCUUGCAUUCGCCCUCCUCGCCUCGGCGGGGCGGGGCAGCGCCAGCGAGCCCAAGGUCUCCCUGGCGAGCGUGGCAGGAGUGGAGGGUUCCCGGCAGGGCGCCAAUGCGUCCCCCGGGGCCCCGAAGGAGGUGCCCGAGAUCUUCCGGCUACAAAGCCGAGCAGUGGGGUUCCAUAGCCGUGGUAGACGAUAUGCCUAAGAGAGCAAACUCCGAACAACAAACCCGGGCAGGUGGAGGUCGUUAGCCGUGGUAGGCAUUUCACCUAGGAGAGCAAACUCUAAACAAACCCGGGCAGGUGGGACUCGUUAGCCGUGGUAGGCAGUUCACCUAGGAGAGCAAACUCCGAACAACAAACCCGGCCAGGUGGAGGUCGUUAGCCAUGGUAGGCAGUUCACCUAGGAGAGCAAACUCCAAACAACAAACCCGGCCAGGUGGAGGUCGUUAGCCAUGGUAGGCAGUUCACCUAGGAGAGCAAACUCCGAACAACAAACCCGGCCAGGUGGAGGUCGUUAGCCAUGGUAGGCAGUUCACCUAGGAGAGCAAACUCCGAACAACAAACCCGGCCAGGUGGAGGUCGUUAGCCAUGGUAGGCAGUUCGCCUAGGAGAGCAAACUCCGAACAACAAACCCGGGCUUGUGGUGCCCGUUAGAUGUCGUAGACAAUCCACGUUUUGGGAACAGCAAAGAAAAUGAAAAUGAAAAAAAAACAACAGAAAAAGGAAAAUAUAGAAACGAAACAUCGAAAAAAGAAAACCCAAACACACAUCAUCCACCAUUAGGCCUUAACUAACAUCGCCAAAAUUAUGGGUGGGUCUUUUCUGGGGAGAAAAAGGCUCAUCCAGACCAAAGAACAUAAAAAAUGGAUGAUAUAAAAAAGAACACCAAAAAAUAUAGAAAAGAAAAAAAAGAUCAGAACAAAACAUCGAAAAAGAAAAGUAACAGCAAUAAUUGAAAAAACAUCAAUAAAAGAAAACUACAAAGAAACAUCAUCCACCUUUCGGCCCUGACUAACAUCACCAAAAUUAUGGGUGGGUCUUUUCUGGGGAGAAAAAGGCUCAUCCAGACCAAAGAACAUCAAAAGGGAUGGUAUAGAAAAGAACACCGAAAAAUAUAGAAAAGAAAAAGAACAGAAAAAACCUCGAAAAAGAAAAGUAACAGCAAUAAAAGAACAACACCACGAAAAGAAAAAUACAAAGAAACAUCAUCCGCCUUUCGGCCCUGACUAACAUCACCAAAAUUAUGGGUGGGUCUCUUCUGGGAGGAAAGAGGCUCAUUCAGACCAUCAAAGAACAUAAACAAAAGGAUGAUAGAGAAAAGAACAUCAAGAAAGGAUGAUAAAGAGAAAUAGAAAAGAAAAAAAUGGCGAAAAAGAAAACAUCAAGAAAAAGAACAAGAAAACCACGACAUCAAGAAAAGAAAAAUAUAACCAACAUCAUCCGCCUUUCGGCCCUCAGUAACAUCACCAAAAUUAUGGGUGGGUCUCUUCUGGGAGGAAAGCGGCGCACCCAGACCAUCGAAGAACAUCAACAAAAGGAUGAUAGAGAAAAGAACAUCAAGAAAGAAAGAAAAAGAGAAAAAGAACAGAAAAAAUACCGAAAAAGAAAAAGAAAGAAAAAGAAAGACCUAUAAUUGUAAAUAUUCUUCAACUUA